UGACAUCAGGAAUUCAGAUAGAACAAGGGAUUAUUAUGAGAGGUGCAAAAUCCUGAGAUUAAUAGCCUUGCCAUGGUGCAACUUCAAAAGGACUUAAUUCAGAUACCACUGUGUGGGUCUCCAGUCAGUAGGAGGAAACUACAGAAGAAAAAAAAAAAUGGCGGCACCUGGACAUUUUCUUUGUGCACAUGUGUUUUGUUAAGACUAUACCUCAUGUCCGUGGAACAAGUCUAUCAUACAGGAAAACUAAUUUGAAUCCCAUCUGAAUGUUGGAUGACAUAUAUCAAGAUGGCAGUGAAUAAGACAUAACUGAAAAAAUGGGAUGUGAGAGAAUCCAAUCUAACAUUUAAAAAUAAAUAUUCAUUUAUAUUAUU